rnacentral:rRNA from 1 species
CAUGUAGGCGGCCUUUUAAGUCAGACGUGAAAUCCAUGGGCUUAACCCAUGAAUUGCGUUUGAAACUGGAGGGCUUGAGGAUCGGAGAGGGCAGUGGAAUUCCCAGUGUAGCGGUGAAAUGCGUAGAUAUUGGGAGGAACACCAGUGGCGAAGGCGACUGCCUGGACGACACCUGACGCUGAGGCGCGAAAGCUAGGGGAGCAAACGGGAUUAGAUACCCCGGUAGUCCUAGCCGUAAACGAUGGGUACUAGGUGUGGGAGGUAUCGACCCCUUCCGUGCCGCAGUUAACACAAUAAGUACCCCGCCUGGGGAUACGGCCGCAAGGUUGAA